AAUUAUUGCCUGUUGCAUUUAAAUCAAUACAGAAGAGUGAUCAAAUGCCCAUUAAGGGAUUCCAAAUGGACACUUUCAUCAUAUGCAGGGCUAAAGGCUCAUAUAUACCAAGACCAUCAAGAACGUAGGUCAAAAAGUGAAGAAAAAUUGUUGAUCUUAAGUCUCCAUUUGAAAUUACAGUGUAAAACUCUUUUGUGCCAACAAGUUUAUGAUAAAAAUGAAGGAUUUAUUAAAGCAUUUGAGACAGCACAUUGAUGAUGGCACCAGGAUUCAGUGCCCCUUUAAUCAGUGCUCCAAAAUGUUCUCAAAGACAACCACAUUUAAAUCACACUUAAGUAGGCAUCACACAUAUCAAACAGUUAAGGACUUGCCAUCUGAAAUGGUCUACUCAUCAAAUUCAGACCUCUGUGAUGACUUGUCACCAAGUUAGGAGGUAUCCAGUACAACAAGAAAUGACAUUUAUGACUUGGAAGGGACUAGCUUAUCAUUUAUAUACAUAUGUAACCAAAGGAGGUGUAAUAUUACAACCAGGAGCAGUGUAAAUAAUUGUAAUUUUCUUAUCAUUUUACCUUUGAUAAAGUUAUUAAUUGGUUCCUUUGUGCUUAAUAAACAGGAAGGGGAUGUGUGGGUAUUUGUUAUAAAAAUUAUGAGAGAGAAGUAUCUUGUGGUCCAUAAAAAUUAUGUUAUCAUUAUUAUUACCUGGUCUUUUGUGGAAAAAGCUUUAGGAAGAGGAGGUAAAAUAUCUACUGCAGUUCUGCCACAAGCAUUGAUUGGUGAGAAAGGGGUGAAGAUGCUAGAGACAAGUCAUGAAAUCCUGACCAGGUGGCUAUGUUAUUUUUAUUUAUUUAUUUAUUUUCAAUACUUUCAGGAGAAUCAAGGUUUACUACAACAAGAUAUAUGCUGUCAGUUCAUGGUGUUGUUGUCACUGAGCAUAUUGCCACAUUUACCACUGGCCUAGCUAUGCUGUUGGCCUCCUAUUACAACUUUAAUAUAAGGUACCCCAUGGAUUCUGCAUCAACACUCGAGUUCAUUCAAAGAUGUUUUGCUGGUAUCAAUCCCAAAUGGGGGAGCAAGAUAGAAGUAAAAAAAAACAUUGCAAAAGGCACUCUGAAGUCCAUCCGAAGGUCCUGUCCCUGAUUAAUGGUAUUGCUGAUGUAGACUGGAGGAGCUAAAUCCCACCAGAUGCUGUCAGCCACUAGAGGGGAGGAAACUAGAAUUGUGAUACACAAGUGGAUGAAACUUCUCUUCCAGUCUUGGUGAUGUACUUAAAUAAUGCUCUUUUUUUAAUGAUGUGUCAAUGACAAUUAUAAUGGUGAUGCUGUAAAGGUGAUGUACUUAAAUG